ACGGGAGGCAGCAGUGGGGAAUAUUGGACAAUGGGGGAAACCCUGAUCCAGCGACGCCGCGUGAGUGAAGAAGUAUUUCGGUAUGUAAAGCUCUAUCAGCAGGGAAGAAAAUGACGGUACCUGACUAAGAAGCCCCGGCUAACUACGUGCCAGCAGCCGCGGUAAUACGUAGGGGGCAAGCGUUAUCCGGAUUUACUGGGUGUAAAGGGAGCGUAGGUGGUAUGGUAAGUCAGAAGUGAAAACCCAGGGCUUAACUUUGGGAUUGCUUUUGAAACUAUCAAACUAGAGUGCAGGAGGGGUAAGCGGAAUUCCUAGUGUAGCGGUGAAAUGCGUAGAUAUUAGGAAGAACACCAGAGGCGAAGGCGGCUUACUGGACUGUAACUGACACUGAGGCUCGAAAGCGUGGGGAGCAAACAGGAUUAGAUACCCUGGUA
rnacentral:rRNA from 1 species